UACGGAGGGUGCAAGCGUUGUUCGGAAUUACUGGGCGUAAAGCGCACGUAGGCGGCUUUGUAAGUUAGAGGUGAAAGCCUGGGGCUCAACUCCAGAAUUGCCUUUAAGACUGCAUCGCUUGAACGUCGGAGAGGUGAGUGGAAUUCCGAGUGUAGAGGUGAAAUUCGUAGAUAUUCGGAAGAACACCAGUGGCGAAGGCGGCUCACUGGACCGGCAUUGACGCUGAGGUGCGAAAGCGUGGGGAGCAAACAGG
rnacentral:rRNA from 1 species